rnacentral:misc_RNA from 1 species
GCAAAUUGUGAAGGAUUACGCUUGACAUAUUAACUUGGAUGCCAAUUUAGAACACAAAUUCUGUUAAUUUUCUGGUCAGGUGACAUGGAUUCCUGUAGAUGUUAAAAGGGAAUGCCGAGAACUACGAAUGUAUAUACAGUGGCAGUGGCACAACACCAUUAUUAGGUGAUGUUGCAUUCGUGGGACUUGCAGUGGCCAUGGUAGUGGAACACAUGUACGUGUUGAUUGCAAUAAGUAGAGCACCUCCUUCAGUUUUGGUUACCUGGGACCCCAAUUCUGCUCCUGCCAAGUCCAUAACUUGGCAAGCAGGUUUUCUCUAUGUUGCAAAUUGG